GGCUGGUCCGAGUACAGUGGUGUUGACGAUUAAUUGAUCGUAACCAGUUACAGAUUUCUUUGUUCCUUCUCCAUUCCCGCUAACCUUAAAAAACAAAACAGCCUGGU
ensembl:misc_RNA Y_RNA Y RNA